CUAAUUCUUUUCUAAAAGAAAAAACAUGAAAUACUAGCUUAGCCUCUCUUCUUCUUUCAAGUGCAAACCACCAUAAAAUCACCAUAUCUUCCAUGAAAAUCAGUCACUAAAACUUCAACUAAGCCACCUUAAAUCACUAACAGAAGUAUCACCUUUCAUCAAAAACUUACUGCCCAUAACCUCCAGAGCUUCGCCUAUAUCCGUCAAGCCAAAACAAAUCCUGAGCUUGCCGGAAAAAAGCAAAAUUCCAGCAACAAUAGUUGUGAAAACCACCAAAUCUCCACUAGAUAGCCGAAGCAAAUGCUUAAAUGAGAAGUAGUCAGAGCAAAAGUCAAAACAAGAAAGACAAAGAAGUCUCUUCCACUCCUAGAGGUUGAGGAUGAGGAAGUGAUGGGGACGACGAUGCUCGUGCAAGAUAAGAUGACGACUGGCUGACUUGCCCAUCUCAUAUAUAUUAUAAAGGAAGCAUGCUAUUUUUAGCUAUUUUUGCUUUUUCUUAUAAACACCCUCUUUCAUCUAACAACACCUUCAUUUCAACAGAAACACACAAACAAAAAUCAAUUAUUUGAAUCGAAUGAUAAUUUUGCACCAAAAAUAAUAAAUUAGAAAAUAAAAGCUUCAGUUUCAAUAAUGGUGAAAUUCCGUUUUUUCAAUAAAAUUCGAUCAAAUCAAUAUUAACACAAGAAUCCAAAUAUCAAAAAUAACACCCACCAAUUUUCAUUCUCAAACAACUUCAAUUUGUAGAACCCACAUUUUAGAUCGUCCAACUUCGAUAUUUUUCUUCUCAUUCGUCUUCGCCGGCCCGCUCUCUUUCGCCUACAGUUUUUCGCUAUCUAGUCCCUAGUUCUGCUACUUUUGGAAUGGGUGAGUAUUUUAGUGAACUAAUAUUCAUUAAACCUAACUGAAGCUACUUUUGGGAUGGGAAGAUAUGUGUUUAGUUAGUUGGAUGGAGAGUGGAUUAGGGAAAAGGGGAAGGAAACGUAGAAGAAGGGCAGAAGGAAGAAGAUAGAAUGGGGGACGGGGUAGCGCUGGUUUUGGUUGCUUUAGGGAAAAGUUUAUUUCUCCUUUAAAUUCAUUUUUUUAAUUAUAAGUGUUAAGUUUUAAUUAUAAAUUACACGUGGUGUUCACUGAUUGGCUCAUUUGAAAUAUUAUUGGCAAGUAUAACUCACGUAUCUGGUUUGUUGUGC
rnacentral:lncRNA from 1 species